AACGAACGCUGGCGGCAUGCCUAACACAUGCAAGUCGAACGAGACCUUCGGGUCUAGUGGCGCACGGGUGCGUAACGCGUGGGAACCUGCCCUUAGGUUCGGAAUAACUCCCCGAAAGGGGUGCUAAUACCGGAUAAUGUCUUCGGACCAAAGAUUUAUCGCCUUUGGAUGGGCCCGCGUUGGAUUAGCUAGUUGGUAGGGUAAAAGCCUACCAAGGCGACGAUGCAUAGCUGGUCUGAGAGGAUGAUCAGCCACACUGGGAAUGAGACACGGCCCAGACUCGUACGGGAGGCAGCAGUGGGGAAUAUUGGACAAUGGGCGAAAGCCUGAUCCAGCAAUGCCGCGUGAGUGAUGAAGGCCUUAGGGUUGUAAAGCUCUUUUAGCCGGGAUGAUAAUGACAGUACCGGGAGAAUAAGCUCCGGCUAACUCCGUG
rnacentral:rRNA from 1 species